AUAAGGCCUUGUUUGGCACUGGUGUUUUAGUGGGGAUCAGUGGGGAUAAUACUCUAGAGUAUUGGGUGACAGCAGAAAUUCAUCCAAUCCCCACAAAACCCCAUCCCCAAUCCACUAGGUAGAUGUAGAGUAUUGGGGAUUGAAAAAAUUACACUAAAUUUUGGGGAAAAGUGGGGAUAAGUGGGGAUUAAACUCGCUCAUACUCUAUCACCAAACAUGCGUUGGGGAUAAGUGGGGAUUUGAAGUUUGGAGCGGAUUAUCCCCGCCAAUCCCCAGUAAAACUCUAGUACCAAACAAGGCCUAACCUGGCGGGUACUGGCGGGGGCGGGUAAUGGCGGGGAUCGGGGCGGGGAUGGUGGAGUCCCCGUCGCCACCUUGACUUCCCGGCCUCUUCCCCGCACCACAUCCUCCGCCGCCAGGCCCCACCGGCCACGCUCGGGCGUGCCCCCGUGGUUGCCGCUUCUGCGCAGCGGCGCCUCGCGGUGCCCGGCGACCUUCCCCUCAUCUCGCUCGCGUUCCGCGGCUGGCCUACCCGCGCAGGGGGCCUCGCCGCUGUUUCGUGAGCGUCUCGGCUUCCUCCCUCCCGUCGACCGGUCCGCAAGGCGGCGGGGGCGGUAGGGGGAACGACGAUGGAGGGGGUGGCGGGGAUGGAGGCGACGGGGACAGGUGGAAGCGGCCGCGUGCUUCCCAGGGGACUGUGGUGACGGAGGAGGCCGAUACCAUAAUUCUCGAUGUUGGGGUGUGACUUGUCAAUUGUGAAUAAUUACUCUACCUCCUAUCUCCACGUUGUUGUUGGAACUAGAAGCAUGUAAUCUGUACCUAUGUUAGCCAUUUGAUGGUUUUUGAACUUUUGAUUGCAGGGGAUGUCCUAUGGGGGCUGCACAGCAAGCAUUAAACGCAUUCUGGAGAUUGAGCCCCAGGUGCAGUCUGCAACUGUCAACCUUGCCACUGAGACGGCAGUUGUGUGGGCAGUGCUGGAAGAUACGUCUGUGAAGGAUUGGAAACUCCAGCUAGAUGAGAAGCUUGCCAGCCAGUUGACGACAUACGGGUACAAAUCCAGCCAUCGAGAUUCUUCAAAAGAGAGUUCACAGAAAGUUUUUGAAAGAAAGAUGGAUGAGAAACUUCAGAAUCUAAAACAAAGUGGUAAACUUCAUUUGCAUUAAAAAUUAGCCAUCAAUAUUACGAGCUUCCUCCAAGUCAACAUUUUAUUAUGAAAAAAGGUGACAAUUUUGUAACUAACAUGACAUUGAUUUCUCUUUUAGGCCGUGAUCUUUGCUGUAUCUUGGGCAUUAUGCGAUGUUUGCCUACCGGGACAUAUUUCUCACCUCUUUGGAGUUAAUGCACCAUUGAUGCAUCUAUUUCAUUCCACUGGAUUUCAUUUGUCACUCUCAAUAUUUACAUUUGCUGGUCCUGGUCGACGACUAAUUCUUGACUGAAAAGUCUAUUCAAGGGGUCUCCAAACAUGAAUACGUUGGUUGGUUUAGGCGCUCUGUCAUCUUUUGCAGUCAGUUCAGUUGCAACCUUCAUUCCAAAGCUGGGAUGUAAGACAUUUUUUGAGGAACCAAUUAUGUUAAUAGCUUUUGUGCUUCUAGUGAAGAAUGUUGAGCAGAGGGCAAAGCUAAAAGCUGCUAGUGAUAUGACAGGAUUGCUCAAUAUUUUUCUGUCAAAAGCACGCUUGAUGGUGGAUAGUGAUGCUGAGCAAUCAUCAUCCGCAGAGGUCCCAUGGUACCCUUGUUGAGGGGGACUAUAUAGUAUAUAGUGGUGCUGUCUGGGGUGAGUAAAUAAAAUUCAUAUAGACAAGCACACUAGUGGUGUUGCCAUGGACCUCCUCGACGCGGGCCACUGCCACUAGUCAGAACUCUCUGCCGACAUGGAUGACGCCUCCGUGCUCCCGGUCUUCGGAGCCGCCUACCAGCCCUACAUGUCCCAGCUCUUCUCCUUCUCCAUCGAGCGCCUCCACAAGGAGCCGGAGCUUCUGCGAGUGGAUGGGAAGCGGGUGUGGCGGCAGAUGUACGAGGUGGCGGUGGAGAACUACGCCGCCUUCAUAGCCGCGUCCAAGGCGCUCUCCUUCGUCUGAGUUCAACUCGAGGGAUUCGACAAGCACCUUGAGGCACUGUUAUCAGAAUGUCUUCGUACCGUUGCACAUCUGUGUUGUAUCGUAGUGUUCAGCGAAUCCGAAUUGCGCUUACAGUAUAUGAGUUUUUUUCAAACUCUUCCCUAGAGACUACACCUUUGUGCUAUAUAGAUUCUAUACACUUAUUUGGUGAGUACCGCCUAAGAUUAGUGUCCUCGUUUGAGAUUUCCUUUUUGGUCGCCUUUCAUCUUUAUCAUCUGCUUAUGUUACCGUCCUUCUGUUAUACUACUAUGGUCGGUUUUAAUCGACGCGGCAAUCACCCCGCCUGCAGGCACGCACUGAACACACUCAACGUCGAUUAAAAACAAACGGAGGGAGCAGCUAGCUACUUUCAUUUCAGUGAUGUAGCUUUUCUUUCUUUGCUACGUCGGCUUUUCUUGUUAGUAUAAUUGAUGUUGCUAACCUUUACAUGUGUCAAGUGUUCAACAUGUAUUACUUUAAAUAUUUUCAGACGAAGAUGUAAAGAAAGAAAAGAAGGGGAGAGUGAACAAAAGAAGAUGUAAAGGAACAAAUUCUAGUUUGAUUUUCAUAGAAUUCAAUUCUGAGACUUGUGUAUUAAUUCUGUUCCGUGUGUAAACUGCAUUCUGUAUGAAAACUGUGAUUAUGUGAAUUGAUGUCUGAAUUUGUAAACUAAAUUUUCCAUUUGAAAACUUUAUUACU